rnacentral:rRNA from 1 species
UACGUAGGGUGCGAGCGUUGUCCGGAAUUAUUGGGCGUAAAGAGCUCGUAGGCGGCUUGUCGCGUCGGAUGUGAAAGCCCGGGGCUUAACUCCGGGUCUGCAUUCGAUACGGGCAGGCUAGAGUUCGGUAGGGGAGAUCGGAAUUCCUGGUGUAGCGGUGAAAUGCGCAGAGUAUCAGGAGGAACACCGGUGGCGAAGGCGGAUCUCUGGGCCGAUACUGACGCUGAGGAGCGAAAGCGUGGGGAGCGAACAGG